rnacentral:sRNA from 1 species
AGAGUUAAAAAAAAGAGAGACAGCCCGAGGGAUCGAGACCUGAACAUGUGGUGGUGGUUGCACAGUCGCCUUUUCCAGUUUGGAGAGACGUUGACAACCUUAAAGUUCCACCACAAGAGGAAUAUAAAGAGGUCCCUCCUGCACCAAGAAAGAUCUGCAGAUCUUUUUCAGUGUUCUUGGAGGUGUGGGGUGUGAGAACUUGAUCAGUUUGUGUCAGCCACCUUGUUCUCUAAAGUUACAAAUUAUAAUACUGUGGUAGAAACAAAUUCAGAUUCAGAUGAUGAAGACAAACUCCAUAUUGUGGAAGAAGAAAGUGUCACAGAUGCAGCUGAUUGUGAAGGUGUACCAGAGGAUGACCUGCCAACAGACCAGACAGUGUUACCAGGGAGGAGCAGUGAAAGAGAAGGGAAUGCUAAGAACUGCUGGGAGGAUGACACAGGAAAGGAAGGGCAAGAAAUCCUGGGGCCUGAAGCUCAGGCAGAUGAAGCAGGAUGUACAGUAAAAGAUGAUGAAUGCGAGUCAGAUGCAGAAAAUGAGCAAAACCACGAUCCUAAUGUUGAAGAGUUUCUACAACAACAAGACACUGCUGUCAUUUUUCCGGAGGCACCUGAAGAGGACCAGAGGCAGGGCACACCAGAAGCCAGUGGUCAUGAUGAAAAUGGAACACCAGAUGCAUUUUCACAAUUACUCACCUGUCCAUAUUGUGAUAGAGGCUAUAAACGCUUUACCUCUCUGAAAGAACACAUUAAAUAUCGUCAUGAAAAGAAUGAAGAUAACUUUAGUUGCUCCCUGUGCAGUUACACCUUUGCAUACAGAACCCAACUUGAACGUCACAUGACAUCACAUAAAUCAGGAAGAGAUCAAAGACAUGUGACGCAGUCUGGGUGUAAUCGUAAAUUCAAGUGCACUGAGUGUGGAAAAGCUUUCAAAUACAAACAUCACCUAAAAGAGCACUUAAGAAUUCACAGU